CUUCACGCAUCGUAUUUAGAGUUGAAAAUUAUUUUCAACUACAAGAAUGGAUGUAAAUCCUUCGUUUCAAUGAAAAAUAAUAAAUUCUUCUAUUUGCCAAUUGAUAAAAAAGAAACUCAAGAAAAUGUAUCUAUAUAAUUUGACUCUUCAACGUGCAACUGGUAUCACUCAUGCAGUGCAUGGAAAUUUUUCUGGGAGUAAAAUGCAAGAAAUUCUGGUUUCACGUGGCAAGUCUUUAGAGCUGUUAAGACCUGACCCAAAUACUGGAAAAGUACAUACUCUUCUGACUGUAGAAGUAUUUGGAAUCAUAAGGUCUUUAAUGGCCUUUAGAUUGACUGGUGGUACAAAAGACUAUAUCGUUGUUGGAUCAGACUCUGGUCGCAUUGUAAUUUUGGAAUACAUUCCUGCCAAAAAUGUGUUCGAGAAAGUGCAUCAAGAAACAUUUGGGAAAAGUGGAUGUAGACGCAUUGUACCUGGACAAUACUUAGCUAUAGAUCCUAAAGGAAGAGCUGUAAUGAUAGGUGCAAUUGAGAAACAAAAACUUGUUUAUAUUCUGAAUAGAGAUCCAGAAGCUCGUCUUACAAUUUCUUCACCUUUGGAAGCACAUAAGAGCAAUACAUUAGUUUAUCAUACUGUGGGAGUAGAUGUGGGUUUUGAAAAUCCUAUGUUUGCCUGUUUAGAAAUUGAUUAUGAGGAAGCAGAUAGUGAUCCAACAGGAGACGCAGCAGUGAAGACGCAACAAACAUUAACUUUAUAUGAACUUGAUCUUGGUUUAAAUCAUGUUGUGCGUAAAUAUAGUGAACCUUUAGAAGAACAUGCGAACUUUCUUGUAUCUGUUCCUGGAGGAAAUGAUGGACCAAGUGGUGUUCUUAUUUGUUCCGAAAAUUAUUUAACAUACAAAAAUUUAGGGGAUCAGCACGAUAUUCGUUGUCCAAUUCCAAGGAGACGUAAUGAUUUAGAUGAUCCUGAAAGAGGCAUGAUAUUUGUUUGUUCUGCUACUCACAAGACCAAGAGUAUGUUUUUCUUUUUGGCUCAAACAGAACAAGGAGAUAUCUUUAAAAUUACACUUGAGACAGAUGAAGAUAUGGUGACUGAGAUUAAAUUAAAGUACUUUGACACUGUACCUGUAGCAGCAAGCAUGUGUGUUUUGAAAACUGGUUUUUUAUUUGUAGCUUCAGAAUUUGGUAACCAUUAUCUCUACCAAAUUGCACAUUUAGGAGAUGAUGACGAUGAGCCGGAAUUUAGUUCUGCUAUGCCUCUGGAAGAAGGUGAUACAUUCUUUUUUGCACCAAGACCACUUAGAAAUUUAGUACUGGUUGAUGAAAUGGAUAGUUUAUCACCAAUAAUGGCAUGUCAGGUAGCUGAUUUAGCAAAUGAAGAUACUCCACAAUUAUAUAUAACUUGUGGUAGAGGACCACGAUCUACAUUGCGGGUGUUACGGCAUGGUUUAGAAGUAUCUGAAAUGGCUGUCAGUGAACUGCCUGGUAAUCCAAAUGCUGUGUGGACUGUUAAAAGAAGAGUUGAUGAGGAGUAUGAUGCUUACAUCAUAGUGUCCUUCGUCAAUGCUACUCUUGUACUUAGUAUCGGAGAAACUGUAGAAGAAGUGACAGAUUCUGGAUUUCUCGGUACAACGCCAACACUGAGUUGUUCUGCUCUGGGAGAAGAUGCCCUGGUGCAGGUAUAUCCCGAUGGGAUACGUCAUAUUCGAGCAGACAAACGUGUAAAUGAAUGGAAAGCUCCCGGUAAAAAAACAAUAGUAAAGUGUGCAGUGAAUCAACGUCAGGUUGUAAUUGCACUUACUGGGGGAGAAUUAGUAUACUUCGAAAUGGAUCCCACGGGGCAAUUGAAUGAAUAUACAGAACGAAAGAAGAUGCCAUCAGAAGUAAUGUGUAUGGCUCUUGGUAACGUAGCUAUUGGUGAACAAAGAUCAUGGUUCUUAGCUGUCGGUCUCCAAGACAAUACUGUGAGGAUUAUUUCCCUGGAUCCUUCGGAUUGUUUAGCACCUAGAAGUAUGCAAGCUCUACCAGCGGCCGCGGAAAGUUUAUGUAUUGUUGAAAUGGGUGCUAAAGAUGCAAAUAAUUCUGAAGAGCUAUCACCUCAGCAAUCCAGUCUCUAUCUAAAUAUAGGUUUACAAAACGGCGUCUUGUUAAGAACAGUAUUAGAUCCAAUUUCCGGUGACCUUGCGGAUACGCGUACGCGAUACUUGGGUUCCCGAGCUGUUAAGCUAUUUAGAAUCAAAAUGCAGGGAAAUCAAGCUGUACUUGCAAUGAGUAGCAGAUCGUGGCUGAGUUAUUAUUAUCAAAAUCGUUUUCAUUUAACACCACUAUCUUAUGAAAGUUUAGAAUUUGCAUCAGGCUUUAGUUCUGAACAAUGUCCUGAGGGAAUUGUUGCUAUUUCGACAAAUACGCUUAGAAUUUUAGCCCUCGAAAAGUUAGGCGCGGUAUUUAAUCAAAUUAGUUUCCCUUUGGAAUAUACUCCGAGAAAAUUUGCAAUUCACUCGGAUUCUGCACAUCUGAUAAUUAUUGAAACAGAACAUAAUGCGUAUACGGAAGAAACAAAACAGCAAAGAAGAUUACAAAUGGCAGAAGAAAUGCAAGAAGCAGCAGGGGCAGAAGAGGCCGUAGUAGCUAGAGAAUUGGCGGAAGCUUUCUUAUCCGAGGAACCCAAUGAGUCUGUGUUUGGAGCACCAAGAGCUGGACCAGGUUUAUGGGCAUCGUUAAUAAGAAUAAUAGCUCCCACAACGGGACAGACAUUUGAAGUUCAUCGUCUCGAGCAAAAUUUGGCUGCUUUAUGUUUAAGCCUUGUGAAAUUCGCUAAUCAGGGUGAUCAGCUAUUUCUCAUAGUUGGUAUUGCGAAAGAGUUUCAGUUGAAUCCAAGAGUUAGUAGUGGUGGCUUCUUGUAUACAUAUAAAGUAAACAGUGAAUGCACUAAUCUUGAAUUAGUGCAUAAAACUACUUUAGAUGAAGUACCUUUGGCUAUAUGUCCAUACCAAGGUAGGGUAUUAGUUGGCGUUGGUAGAAUGUUGCGUCUGUACGAUAUGGGCAAGAAAAAGUUGUUGAGAAAAUGUGAAAACAAACAUAUUCCCAAUGCUGUUGUCUCCAUCAAUGCAAUUGGACAAAGAAUUUACGUGAGUGACGUUCAAGAAUCCGUUUACGCUGUUAGAUACAAACGCCAAGAAAAUCAGUUGAUAGUCUUUGCUGAUGAUACACAUCCGCGGUGGAUAACGACAACUUGCGUAUUAGAUUAUGAUACAGUUGCUACCGCUGAUAAAUUUGGAAACAUUGCUGUUAUACGCUUAGCAAGUGGAAUUAACGACGAUGUAGAUGAAGACCCAACUGGCAACAAAGCUUUGUGGGAUAGAGGUUUAUUAAAUGGUGCCAGCCAAAAGGCAGAUACAGUUGCUUGCUUUCAUGUUGGUGAGACAGUCAUGUCUUUACAAAAAGCAACCCUUAUUCCCGGCGGUUCGGAAAGUUUAGUGUAUACAACAUUAAGUGGAACAGUUGGUGUUCUUGUUCCCUUUACCAGCCAUGAAGACCAUGACUUUUUUCAACAUUUAGAAAUGCAUAUGCGUUCAGAACAUCCACCACUUUGUGGAAGAGAUCACUUAUCAUUCAGAUCUUAUUAUUAUCCCGUAAAAAAUGUUAUAGACGGAGAUCUUUGUGAACAAUUCAAUUCUAUUGAACCGGUAAAACAGAAGAGUAUAUCUGGAGAUCUUGAACGAACAUCUUCCGAAGUAUCGAAGAAGCUCGAGGAUAUUCGCACACGAUACGCUUUCUAAGGAUAAAAUAUGUUCUACUGAUUUUACAAUUCAAUGUGUAUUCCGAAUAUGUGUGGUAUAAACUCUAACGUAACAUAAAGUGAGGACUGCAAUGUUGAAAACGUUUUUGACAAUGUUUAUCCUUGUUACAAUUUGACGAGGAAAAAAGCUAAAACUGAACCCCGAUGUAUAGCGAAGGAAAAAAUAGAAAAUGCCUUGUUGACCUAUUUCACCAUUCUAAAUACAACAUGCGCAUAACAGUGAACAAUAUACUGCUAAACAGUUCAAUUAAAAAUGAAUAAUUAAUUUUUA
rnacentral:misc_RNA from 1 species